AUCGAACGCUGGCGGCAUGCUUUACACAUGCAAGUCGAACGGCAGCGCGGGCUUCGGCCUGGCGGCGAGUGGCGAACGGGUGAGUAAUGCAUCGGAACGUGCCCAGUAGUGGGGGAUAGCCUGGCGAAAGCCGGAUUAAUACCGCAUACGAUCUGAGGUUGAAAGCGGGGGACCGAAAGGCCUCGGGCUAUUGGAGCGGCCGAUGUCGGAUUAGCUAGUUGGUGGGGUAAAGGCUUACCAAGGCGAUGAUCCGUAGCUGGUCUGAGAGGACGACCAGCCACACUGGGACUGGGACACGGCCCAGACUCCUACGGGAGGCGGCAGUGGGGAAUUUUGGACAAUGGGGGCAGUCCUAAUCCAGCCAUGCCGCGGGCGGGAGGAAGGCCUUCGGGUUGUAAGCCGCUUUUGUUCGGGAAGAAAAGCUCUGGGCUAAUACCGCGGGGGGAUGACGGUACCGGAAGAAUAAGCACCGGCUAACUACGUG
rnacentral:rRNA from 1 species